rnacentral:rRNA from 6 species
UUAAAUUGAAGAGUUUGAUCAUGGCUCAGAUUGAACGCUGGCGGCAGGCCUAACACAUGCAAGUCGAACGGUAACAGGAAGCAGCUUGCUGCUUUGCUGACGAGUGGCGGACGGGUGAGUA